rnacentral:rRNA from 1 species
CGGGACGGGUGGGUAACGCGUGGGUAACCUGCCUGUACUGGGGGACAACAGUUAGAAAUGACUGCUAAUACCGCAUAAGCGCACAGUAUCGCAUGAUACAGUGUGAAAAACUCCGGUGGUACAAGAUGGACCCGCGUCUGAUUAGCUAGUUGGUAAGGUAACGGCUUACCAAGGCGACGAUCAGUAGCCGACCUGAGAGGGUGACCGGCCACAUUGGGACUGAGACACGGCCCAA